GUCAAAUCGUUAAAAAAGAAGAGUAUUUAUAAUUCUGUUUUUAGAGAGGAAAUGGUUGGUGCAAAUUUCUAUCAGAAUAUAAAGAAAGCUACUUUGAAGAGUGAUGUAAACAUCAACGCAUAGUCGGCGUUAUCGACUUAGAGAGCAUAAUCUUUUGAUUAUGAAUAAGGAUGGUACCGCGAUUUAAGUCGUUCCUUUU
rnacentral:ncRNA from 1 species